AGUCCGAUGGUCUAGUGGUAUGACGUUCGCUUCACACGCGAAAGGUCCUGGGUUCGAUCCCCUGUCGGACUA